GAUGAACGCUGGCGGCGUGCCUAAUACAUGCAAGUCGAGCGAACUGAUUAGAAGCUUGCUUCUAUGACGUUAGCGGCGGACGGGUGAGUAACACGUAGGCAACCUGCCUGUGAGACUGGGAUAACUUCGGGAACGCGAAGCUAAUACCGGAUAGGAUCAUCUCCUUCAGGGGAGACGAUUGAAAGCUGGUUUCGGCUAUCACUUACAGAUGGGCCCGCGGGGCAUUAGCUAGUUGGUGAGGUAACGGCUCACCAAGGCAACGAUGCAUAGCCGACCUGAGAGGGUGAUCGGCCACACUGGGACUGAGACACGGCCCAGACUCCUACGGGAGGCAGCAGUAGGGAAUCUUCCGCAAUGGACGAAAGUCUGACGGAGCAACGCCGCGUGAGUGAUGAAGGCUUUCGGGUCGUAAAACUCUGUUGUUAGGGAAGAACAAGUACAAGAGUAACUGCUUGUACCUUGACGGUACCUAACCAGAAAGCCACGGCUAACUACGUGCCAGCAGCCGCAGUAA
rnacentral:rRNA from 1 species